rnacentral:rRNA from 1 species
CCUACGGGGGGCUGCAGUGGGGAAUAUUGGACAAUGGGCGAAAGCCUGAUCCAGCCAUGCCGCGUGUGUGAAGAAGGCCUUCGGGUUGUAAAGCACUUUCAGUGGGGAAGAAAGCCUUGGGGCUAAUACCCUCGAGGAAGGACAUCACCCACAGAAGAAGCACCGGCUAACUCCGUGCCAGCAGCCGCGGUAAUACGGAGGGUGCGAGCGUUAAUCGGAAUUACUGGGCGUAAAGCGCGCGUAGGCGGUCUGAUAAGCCGGUUGUGAAAGCCCCGGGCUCAACCUGGGAACGGCAUCCGGAACUGUCAGGCUAGAGUGCAGGAGAGGAAGGUAGAAUUCCCGGUGGAGCGGUGAAAUGCGUAGAGAUCGGGAGGAAUACCAGUGGCGAAGGCGGCCUUCUGGACUGACACUGACGCUGAGGUGCGAAAGCGUGGGUAGCAAACAGGAUUAGAUACCCGGGUAGUC